UGAUUUUUCAUAAAAUGUAUUGAUUUUCGAGUUUUCAGUGAAUUUCAUGUAUCUAAGUGAACGAAUAUCGAAGGUACAAUACAGAAAUUGGACAAAUAUGCCAUUAAAACAUAUGUAUGUGACAAAUCAACAUGAGCUUGCCCUGCAUUACAUGUAACAGUAUUCGUCCAUACCAAUUUUAAGCAAAUUUAGUCGUCUCGCAGGCCUCCAGAUUUUUUUGAAAAUUUAGUGUUCACCCCAAGAACCGGUUUGGCCACAACAUAACAAUUUCAAGUUUAUUUACAAUUUACACAGUGUGUAUAUGUAAAGUAUGUUUAAGUGAACAUAUGUUCUCAUAGUUUCUGACUUUAUUCAUUAUAGGUUGAAAAAUACAGGCAAAG
rnacentral:lncRNA from 1 species